GCCGGGGUGGUGUAAUGGCAGCCACGCAAGUCUUAGGAACUUGUGCCGCAAGGCGUGCGGGUUCGAGUCCCGCCCCCGGCA
rnacentral:tRNA from 1 species